GACGGAAGGUGCAAGCGUUGCUCGGAAUCACUGGGCGUAAAGGGUGCGUAGGCGGCCGUGCAAGUCUGGCGUGAAAGCCCCGGGCUCAGCCCGGGAAGUGCGCUCGAAACUGCGCGGCUCGAGUGCCGGAGGGGAGAGUGGAAUUCCUGGUGUAGCGGUGAAAUGCGCAGAUAUCGGGAAGAACACCCGUGGCGAAGGCGGUUCUCUGGGACGGUACUGACGCUGAGACGCGAAAGCGUGGGGAGCGAACAGG
rnacentral:rRNA from 1 species